rnacentral:rRNA from 1 species
UACGGGGGGGAGCAAGCGUUGUUCGGAUUUACUGGGCGUAAAGGGCGCGUAGGCGGCGUGACAAGUCACUUGUGAAAUCUCCGGGCUUAACUCGGAACGGUCAAGUGAUACUGUCGUGCUAGAGUACAGAAGGGGCAACUGGAAUUCUCGGUGUAGCGGUGAAAUGCGUAGAUAUCGAGAGGAACACCUGCGGCGAAGGCGGGUUGCUGGGCUGAUACUGACGCUGAGGCGCGAAAGCUAGGGGAGCGAAUGGG